rnacentral:rRNA from 1 species
UACGUAGGGUGCAAGCGUUGUCCGGAAUUAUUGGGCGUAAAGAGCGUGUAGGCGGCCCGAUUAGUCCGCUGUGAAAGUCCAAGGGCUCAACCCUGGAAUGCCGGUGGAUACUGUCGGGCUAGAGUCCGGAAGGGGCGAGUGGAAUUCCUGGUGUAGCGGUGAAAUGCGCAGAUAUCAGGAAGAACACCCGUGGCGAAAGCGGCUCUCUGGAACGGUACUGACGCUGAGACGCGAAAGCGUGGGGAGCGAACAGG